rnacentral:lncRNA from 1 species
AUAAAUAAAACGAAAAAAUAAAUGGUAACCGUACAUUACAGAUAAAGUUAAAUACAAAUAAUCUACGAUUUUCUUAUAGAAGUAUACAUUCUUGUAUAAUAUCUGGACCGACGCGUAUGUAUUCGGUAGCAUGGACCGUAGAAUGCAUUCUGGAUAUAACACGUAGACUUAUAAGCCCCAGCUUUCACCUUAUCUAUAUCCGCCACGUGGCAUUAGCAAGCAUGGGCCCCCAAACUUCUUCUCUUCCUUUGUCCACCUGAUGCCCAC